UCGAGCUCCUCUUAAGGGAGUAAGGUUUUUAGAACUUGCAGAAUGGGAAGAAUUCUUUUCUUCUGAUUUUCUGGGAUAAGAAAAACUAGUAGACUCAGAGACAGAUCUUGUGGAAAACCGGCCUCUCAACUCCUCAGCCUUGAGAUUGACCAAAAUCUGAGUCUCCAAGGGCACCUACAGAAAGAAUUUUCGACUACAUGUAUGGAGUGGUGGAUGACGUAGCUGGAACCAGUUCCAUCUAGGACCUUCCACAAGCAUCUCAGAGGUAAAGAAGUCCUUGAGGAUACUCUCGCCGUGUUUAAAUGAGGAAA
rnacentral:lncRNA from 12 species